UACGAAGGGGGCGAGCGUUGUUCGGAUUUACUGGGCGUAAAGGGCGCGCAGGCGGCUUUGCAAGACAGAUGUGAAAUCCCCGGGCUUAACCUGGGAACUGCAUUUGUGACUGCAUGGCUGGAGUGCGGCAGAGGGGGAUGGAAUUCCGCGUGUAGCAGUGAAAUGCGUAGAUAUGCGGAGGAACACCGAUGGCGAAGGCAAUCCCCUGGGCCUGCACUGACGCUCAUGCACGAAAGCGUGGGGAGCAAACAGG
rnacentral:rRNA from 1 species